ACGGAAGGCAGCAGUAGGGAAUAUUGCACAAUGGGGGGAACCCUGAUGCAGCAACGCCACGUGUGGGAAGAAGCAUUUCGGUGUGUAAACCACUGUCGUGAGGGAAUAAUGCUUGGUCUCGGCCAAGUUGAAUGUACCUCGAAAGGAAGCACCGGCAAACUUCGUGCCUGCAGCCGCGGUAAUACGAGGGGUGCAAGCGUUGUUCGGAAUCACUGGGCGUAAAGGGAGCGCAGGCGGAGAUGCAAGCAGUCUGUACAAUACCGGGGCCCAACCCCGGACCUGCAGACUGGACUGUUUCUCUUGGAUAGUUCAGGGGCAAGCGGAAUUCCUGGUGUAGCGGUGGAAUGCGUAGAGAUCAGGAAGAACACCGAUGGCGAAGGCAGCUUGCUGGGGACUUAUCGACGCUCAUGCUCGAAAGUGCGGGUAGCAAACAGGAUUAGAUACCCUGGUA
rnacentral:rRNA from 1 species